AAAACAUGAUCUCAUGGAAUGCAUCAUAACACAAGUAAAUCACAUAAUCUCAGACGGACUAAUUCAAAAUUCCCCCACAUUGCCCGGCCCGCGAAGGAGCUCCUCAGGUCUUCAUUCAGCACCUUAUGGUACCGUGUGCCCGGCCCUUUCAGGGCUCCUCAGGUCUUCAUUUAGGGGGCAAAUGAAUCCAAGCUACGCCUGAUCUGUACAUGCACUGAUUAAUGCAACAUCUUCGUGCUCACUAAUGCAAUACUAUAAACAUGGCAUAAAUGAUGCAUGAAACAUGCUAAAAAUGUGUGAGUUCUCAUAGCAAAAGAUUUAGUUCAGUUCCACUCACCUCUGGCUGACUCUGUACUGACUCUGCAGGUUCUGAAGCAGUGCUCACUGCUGAACUCCUUGGUUCCUUUGGUCCGUUCCUACACAGGUGGACUGAAAUGAGGGACCAAACGAACUCAAGAACAUCUCUAAGAAACUCUCCAAAAACCCUCUAAAGCAUCCUAGAACAAUCACAUAAAUCAUGCAAAAGAAAGCUGGACAGGGCACUUUCGGCGGCAGGUUCGGCGGCUGAAACUCCCCUCCAGAGACGAAACUCAUGCAUGUUCGGCGGCACCUUCGGCAGCCGAAAGUCUCGUCCAGAGACGAAACUCAACCUUCGGCGGCACUUUCUGCGGCCAAACCUUGCCUCCAGAGAUGAAAGUCCAAAUGUUCGGGGGCAAGCUUUGGCAGCCGAAACUGCCUCCACAAGGGGUUCGGCAGCCUAACCUUCCUUCGACGGCCGAACCUGGUUUUGCCCGUUGGGCAGAAACCUGCUCUGUUUCAUGCAAACUUCACCCAAAACCUAUCCAACAUGCAUAGCAACUACUCCCAACUAGCAUCUACCUUAUAACAUGCAUAAAGAGGUCUAAACCUACCCUAACACCUCCAACAAACAUACCAAACAACACUUAACCAUGCUGAUACACCAAAAAUCACCAAAAACUCAUAUAACCCUAUUCAUGCAUACUACCCAUGAAACUGCCAUCAAACCUUCAAAACUCAAGAAAGGAAGUUCAGGAUCUUCACUUACCUCUUCCAAACAAGAGAUUGAACGAUCCCUACGUGGAGAUAUGGAGAAAUCCUCUCUCAAACUCUCCAAGCUUCCAAACUUGCUCUAUUGCUUAAAAACUUCAAAACCACAUGAAAAUCCAUCAAAACCAUGAAAGAUUUGAGAAAACACAUAAAUCACCCAAGGAAGAUCAAGUCUCACCUCAGCUCAUGCAAAUGGAAAGAAAAUCUUAUCCAUUUGAUCUACCUAGGGCCUUUUAUAGUUGGCUGGCCAGACCAACUACGGCGGCCGAAUGAGAACCCAAAUGCCAUGCACGUUCGGCGGCCGAAAGUCACCUUCGGCGGCCGAACCUUGGCUUUUCUGCCUUGGUGCUUUUCUUGCAACACCUUACUUCUUUAAACACUUUAAACCAUGAAAAUGCUUUCAAAACAUAGAAAAACAUAAUCCGUACCCUUCCAGAGGAUUCUGACAUCAGCAAUCCCGCCGGAUUACGGGACUUCCGACGCCGGACUCUAGCCGGGUAUUACAUUCUCCCCCCUUAAGAACAUUUGUCCCCGAAUGUUCCUCAAACAUAAUGCACAUAAACACAUAGAAAAGGGGAAACACUAACUUUAAAACAGAUAUGGGUAUUGCUGAAGCAUCGAUUCUCGUGUCUCCCAGGUGCACUCUUCUAAGUUAUGGUGGUUCCACAGGACUUUUACCAUCGGAAUUUCUUUGUUUCUCAACUUUCUGAUCUGGGUGUCAAGGAUCCUCACUGGCUGUUCUACAUAUGUGAGAUCUCCUAGGAUCUCCACAUCAGGCUCACUGAGAACCUGGUUCGGAUCUGACACAAAUUUCCGUAGCAUAGAAACAUGAAACACCAGAUGGAUUCUUUCCAUAGAUGCAGGUAAAUCCAGCUUGUACGACACAGUCCCGAUCCGCUGCAGAAUCUCAAAGGGACCAAUGUAUUGUGGAGUUAGCUUACCCUUUCUCCCAAAGCGAACCACGCCCUUCAUUGGAGACACCUUCAGCAAAACCAUAUCCCCCUCCUGGAACUCUAUCUGCUUCCUACGGACAUCUACAUAGCUUUUAUGUAUACUGACAGCUGUUUUGAUCCUCUCUCUGAUGAUAGGCACUACUCUGCUCGUAAUCUCGACUAAUUCGGGCCCUGCAAGAGCUUUCUCUCCGACCUCUUCCCAGCAAAUAGGUGUUCUGCACUUCCUCCCAUACAGAGCUUCAUAAGGAGCCAUCCCUAUACUAGCAUGAUGGCUGUUAUUGUAGGCAAACUCCACUAGAGGUAGAUGCUGCCUCCAAGAACCGCCAAAGUCUAACACACACAUUCGGAGCAUAUCCUCUAUUGUCUGGAUGGUCCUCUCUGACUGACCGUCUGUCUGUGGAUGGAAAGCAGUGGUAAAAUCCAAUCUCGUGCCCAUCGCAGCUUGCAGACUCCGCCAAAACCUGGAGGUGAACUGAGGUCCUCUAUCUGAUACAAUUGACACAAGAAAUCCAUGCAGCUUUACUAUCUCUUCUACAUACACCUGCGCUAGCUUGUCCACAGAAUAGUUACUCCUAACUGGAAUGAAGGGAGCAGAUUUAGUCAGUCUAUCCACAAUCACCCAUAUGGAGUCUAGCCUGUUGGACGUCGCCGGUAACCCCAUUACAAAAUCCAUAGCGAUGUUCUCCCAUUUCCACUCUGGAAUCGGCAGUGGGUUAAGCAUUCCAGCCGGCUUCUGGUGCUCUAGCUUCACCCUUUGACAUGUUUUGCAGGCUGACACAUAUUGUGCCACUUCUCUCUUCAUCGCUGGCCACCAAUACACUCUUCGCAGAUCUUGAUACAUCUUGGUGGCUCCAGGGUGAACGCUAUACCUUGCAUUAUGAGCUUCCCUCAUAAUGUCUUCCUUUAGCUUGCUGUCAUCUGGCACACAUAACCUCUUCCCGUGACGAAGAAUCCCUUCACUGUCAAAUCUAAAUUCUGCACUGUUGCCUGACUGAACAGUCCUGGCAAUUUUCAUUAACUCAGGGUCCUCAUGCUGUUUCAGAGCCACUUGCUCUAGAAACACGGGAGUAACUCUCAUCUGUGCAAUCAAAGCACCUGUACCAGAUAACUCUAACUGUAACCCUUCUUCCAUGAGCUUGUAGAAAUCCUUCACCACCGGCCUCCUCUCUGCUGUAAUGUGGGAUAAACUGCCGAGUGACUUCCGGCUUAAGGCAUCAGCUACAAUAUUAGCCUUACCCGGGUGAUACUGGAUCUUGCAAUCAUAAUCACUGAGCAAUUCUACCCAUCGUCUCUGCCUCAAGUUUAGCUCUCUCUGGCUCAAGAUGUGCUGCAGGCUCUUAUGAUCUGUGAAGAUCUCACACUUUACCCCAUAGAGGUAAUGCCUCCACAUCUUGAGUGCAAAGAUAACUGCUACCAUCUCCAGAUCGUGUGUAGGAUAGUUCAGCUCGUGCUUCUUCAACUGUCUAGAAGCAUAAGCUAUCACUCUAUCAUUCUGCAUCAACACACAACCCAAUCCCACUCGGGAUGCAUCACAGAACACUGUGAAGUCGUCAUCACUGAUUGGCAGAGCUAACACCGGUGCUGAAGUCAACCGUCUCUUCAGCUCUUCAAAACUCUCUUCACACUCUUCUGACCAUACGAACUUCUAGUUCUUCCUGGUUAAUCUGGUCAUCGGAGCAGCAAUCUUCGAGAAGUCCUGAACGAACCUCCAAUAGUAGCCUGCCAAACCCAAGAAACUCUUAAUCUCUGUUACUGUCAUGGGUGUAGGCCAGUUGGCUACUGCCUCUACCUUCUUGGGGUCUACUGCUAUGCCUUCAUCUGAUACUACAUGCCCCAAGAAAGAAAUGUUCCUCAGCCAGAACUCGCACUUAGAGAACUUGGCAUACAAGCCAUGCUCCCUCAAAGUCUGCAAGACUAUCCUCAGAUGCUGGGCAUGCUCCUCUGCAUCCCUGGAGUACACUAAGAUAUCAUCUAUAAAGACAAUCACAAAGUGAUCCAGGUACUCUCUGAAAACUCUAUUCAUGAGAUCCAUGAAUGCUGCAGGGGCGUUCAUUAAUCCGAACGGCAUUACUAGGAACUCAUAAUGCCCAUAUCUGGUCUUGAAAGCUGUCUUGGGUACAUCCUCUUCCCUGAUUCUCAACUGGUGGUAUCCGGAUCUCAGAUCUAUCUUAGAGAAACAUCCUGCUCCUGACAGCUGGUCAAAGAGAUCAUUGAUCCUGGGUAGAGGAUACUUGUUCUUGGUAGUGACCUUGUUCAAUUGCCUGUAGUCGAUACAAAGUCUAAGAGGUCCAUCCUUCUUUCUGACAAACAGUACUGGAGCACCCCAAGGUGAGGUACAUGGGCGGAUGAAACCCUUGUCUACCAACUCCUGUAACUGCUCUUUCAAUUCUCUUAGCUCUGCUGGUGCCAUCCUGUAGGGAGGAAUAGAGAUCGGUCUCGUACUAGGCAUUAACUCUAUCUCGAACUCUAUUUCCCUAACCGGUGGUAGUCUUGGAAGCUCUUCAGGAAACACAUCUGGGAACUCGCUAACAACUGGUAUUGAGGAUGGUUCCCUAACUUGCAUGUCUAACUCUCUCACAUGAGCUAGGAACCCCUGACAACCCCUCCUCAACAAUCGACGAGCCUGAAGGGCUGAUAUCAAACCUCUAGGUGUCCCUCUCCUGUCUCCUCUGAAGACACACUCUGACCCAUCCUGGUCUCUGAAACUGACUACCUUGUCCCUGCAGUUCAAGGUAGCAUUAUAUGUAGAUAACUAAUCCAUCCCUAGAAUGACAUCAAAAUCUGCCAACUCUAGAACCACAAGGUCAGCUGGAAGGUAUCUACCCUCUAUACACACUGGACUGACUUGACAGACUGACUCUGCCAAAGAAUGGUUCAAGAACUAACCCUAGAAUAGACAGCAUGACAUGGGAAGAGUUCGCCAAUGAGUUCGCAGGGUGGGCUUUUCCUGACAGUUCCAGGGAAAUGAAGGUUGUCGAGUUUGAACAGCUGAGACAAACAGAGGAGAUGAGCGUUGAUGAGUAUACAGAUAAGUUCCUGGAAUUGUUACCAUACGUAGGGCAGGCGUAUGAUACGGAUCAGAAGAAGGCAAGGAGAUAUGCCACAAGGCUUCACCCCAGGUAUUUCUCCUUGAUUCUUCCAGCAGAGAAAGAGAGUUUCCACUCCAUUGUGGAUGCAGCCAGAAAAAUAGAGGCGAGUGCCAUCAUACAGGGAAUAGGAAAGCAGCAGGUGGCACAGUCUUCGGGUUCUAAGACCCCCAGUGCAGCAAUUUCUGGCAGUAGAAAAGGAGAGAAGUUUAAGUCCAAGAGAGGCAAGUUCUGGAGCAGGAUUAAGUCAGGUCUGGGAAUGGGAAGCGGCUCCAGCUCUAGCACAGGCAGUUCAGUAUGUCAGAAAUAUGGGAAACCACAUAGAGGAGUUUGUCUGAUGGGAUCUACAGCCUGCUAUAGAUGUGGGCGAGAGGGACAUAUUGCACGAGAAUGUCCCCAGGCGACCUUUCUGGCACCAUCUCAGCAGAUGACCUCAGGCAGUGUAGCACAGCCAGUAGCUUCAGCCGUACCUCAGAGCAGUGGCAGAGGUAGAGGAAGAGGGUCAGCCUCUUCAUCAGGGAUGGGUUCCCGAGGUGCAGGUCCGUCAGCCCCAGCACAGAUUUUCACCAUGACGCAACAGGAGGCAGAUACAUCAAACACAGUGGUGUCAGGUAAUCUCAUCAUUGGGUGCUCAGAGGUGUAACAGCCCGAAAACUGAACUGCUACCGGCGCUAGGAUCCAGAUCGGCUUAAGGCCUCCGGGACCCAUAGCAAGCCUGCUGUGCACUCUGUGUACCUGUGAAACCCCAUACAUGAUCAUACAUUUUCUGUAAACAUUUAAAACUUUUCUCUGUUCCAUGGCUUAACCUGUGCAUACACUAUCUCUGUCCUGUAAAACCCCUGCUAGAGCUCUCAUCUUUGCUCUAAAUGGGUCAACUCAUAUACUGGUAAGCCUGGUUUUUUAUAUACAAUAAAAUCAUUUACAUAACCGACCAUGUACAUACAAAAGGGAUUACAACUCAUAAGGUCAAGCAUCAUCUAUCCAACAUACACUAUCUUUUACAAUUACAUGUCCACACUAGCUAUUACAUAACUCUGCUCUUUAUCCGUACCCUUCUGACUUCUCUGGACUCUGAACCUGCAAGACUGGGGUGAAGGGAGAGGGUGAGCUAUACUAGCCCAGUGAGUAGUACAUAUAAACAUGUUAUAAAACAUGAUCUCAUGGAAUGCAUCAUAACACAAGUAAAUCACAUAAUCUCAGACGGACUAAUUCAAAAUUCCCCCACAUUGCCCGGCCCGCGAAGGAGCUCCUCAGGUCUUCAUUCAGCACCCUAUGGUACCGUGUGCCCGGCCCUUUCAGGGCUCCUCAGGUCUUCAUUUAGGGGGCUAAUGAAUCCAAGCUACGCCCGAUCUGUACAUGCACUGAUUAAUGCAACAUCUUCGUGCUCACUAAUGCAAUACUAUAAACAUGGCAUAAAUGAUGCAUGAAACAUCUAAAAAU
rnacentral:lncRNA from 1 species